AGAUGCGCGGCGGGCGGGUGCGGGCCCAGUGCCGAGACGUGCAGCCCCGCCUCGGCCGCUGCUGCCGCCGCCGCCGCCGCGGCCGCCGCCCCCGCCAGGCCCGGGUCGGGCAGCGGCUUGGCCAGCGCGCCGGGCGGCAGCGCGAGUGCCGGGAAGAAGGAGGGCUGCGCCGCCGCCAGAAAGGCGGACAUGGGGAAGUCGGCGGGCCGUGGCGCGUGGAACGGGUGGUAAGCCAUGGCGCUGGCCGCCAGCGCCGGCUCUCUCAUCGGGACAUCCGGCCCAGGCGCCCGGGGGCCGGGGCCGGGGCCGGGGGCGCGCGGCUCGGACCCCCGGCCCGGGCGGCGGCGCGCGCGGUGGACGGACGACCCGGGUGGCGGGCGCAGCAGCUGCUCCUCGGGGCUUCCCGUCCGGCGCACCGCAAGGGGCACCCGGCUCUGUGCGCGGGGGCGGCGGGGGCUCUGCGCGGGGCCGGGCUGGGCCGGGCUGAGCUGGCCCGCUCCGGCGCCGGGGACCACGCGCGACUGGUUAGAUCUUGUCGUGAUCUCUGGAAAACUGUGACUAUCUCACAUGUCCUGCCCAGCUCGGAUCCCCUGCGCUAACGAGCCAGGCCCCCCUUGAUUGCUGAUUUUACGCUUUUUGGACCAAUUGUGGGUCUCCGGGGGCGGGGUUUUGACAGCUCAGGCCAAGCUCCGGCCGGGAGGGGGGGCCUGGGAGAAGGUGUCGGAAGCCUCAGCAGUAAGAAAACAUGUCAACAGAAUAAAAUAUUAACCAAUGACGGGCCGCCGGGCCCCGAGACCCCUCCUCCUGCCCCGGCCCCCACCGCCCGCCCGCGCCUGCGGCUGCCUGCGCCGGACUGGAGAGCGCGGAGGGCCGACCUGACCCGCCGAAAGGGCCUGAGGCGAGGGGAGCCCGGGUCCCGGGGCCUUGGGGAAGGACCCGCAGCCGCACGCCGGCCCCAAGUGCAAAGCAUUGACACGACCCCGAGCGGAGAGGGGGCGCCCUCCUUCUCCCGCGCCCAGAGGCCCGGCCGCUCUGGCCCGAGCCCCAGCCUGGCCUCCGACCCAGCUCCGGGUCGUGGCGCCGCCUGGGGGUCCCUGCGCCCCGGAAAGAGACAGCAGGCACUGGAAAGCGAGGCCGGUGGGCGGGCGAGUCGGGAGGCUCGGGCGGCCGAGGUCCGGGAGCGGAUCCCAGGUGGCGGGAGCUGGUGAGUGGAGCCAUGGCCGAGCCCUGCUGGGGCCGGCGCGGGCGGGAGCGGGACGCGGCCUUGCGCUGGGGAAACGCGGGGACCCCCUACCCGCGCCCGCCUUCACCGGAAGACUCGGAAGGAACCUGGAGUUCUCCGCAGGCCCGGGCCCCGCCCUGAGCUUUCCAGCGGCCGGGAGGAGCGGAUCCUCGGGGCCAGGAAGGUGCCCUGGCAGGAGGGACUGGCUUAUGCCACCCUGUGCAGGAUCGUCUUCUCAGCUUACAGAGCCUAGUGUGAUUCAACAACCCUCCAUCUCUGCCCCCAACAUGCCCAACUGAUCUGGUGGAGGGAACUGAAGAUGAAGGCCUCUCAGGCACCAUGGAUGGGAUGGGUGUGUGUGAAGGGGGCAGGGUCCCCAGGAGCUGCCCCAGGUCUGGCUGGACAGUUGCACGGGAAGUCCUGUUUGUGAACUCAACGUUUCCACGGCUUUUCCAUUAAACUUUACCCCAAAUCACACCUGGCUCUGUGGGUUUCCUUCCAUUCUCCAAGGCCUCCCUGGGGUCUCUGGGAAGUGUGGGCCAGGGAAGGGGGCAAAGGAC
rnacentral:lncRNA from 1 species